rnacentral:rRNA from 1 species
UGGGGAAUAUUGCACAAUGGGCGCAAGCCUGAUGCAGCCAUGCCGCGUGUGUGACGAAGGCCUUCGGGUUGUAAAGUACUUUCAGUCGGGAGGAAGGUGGUAAGGUUAAUAACCUUAUCAAUUGACGUUACCGACAGAAGAAGCACCGGCUAACUCCGUGCCAGCAGCCGCGGUAAUACGGAGGGUGCAAGCGUUAAUCGGAAUUAAUGGGCGUAAAGCGCACGCAGGCGGUUGAUUGAGUCAGAUGUGAAAUCCCCGGGCUUAACCCGGGAAUUGCAUCAGAUACUUGUCAGCUAGAGUCUUGUAGAGGGGGGUAGAAUUCCAUGUGUAGCGGUGAAAUGCGUAGAGAUGUGGAGGAAUACCGGUGGCGAAGGCGGCCCCCUGGGCAAAGACUGACGCUCAGGUGCGAAAGCGUGGGGAGCAAACAGG